GACAGAGGUGCCGAGCGUUAGGCGGAAUCACUGGGCUUAAAGCGUGUGUAGGCGGAUCGUUAAGUGCCUUGUGAAAUCCCACGGCUCAACCGUGGAACUGCUUGGCAUACUGGCGAUCUUGAGCCACUUAGGGGCUACCGGAACAAAUGGUGGAGCGGUGAAAUGCGCAGAUAUCAGGAGGACCACCGGUGGCGAAGGCGGUUCUCUGGGCAUGUCCUGACGCUGAGGAGCGAAAGUGUGGGGAGCGAACAGG
rnacentral:rRNA from 1 species